ACACGACUACAUUAGAUACCCGUGUAGUCCUAGCCGUAAACGAUACUCGCUAGGUGUCGGCCACGGUGCGACCGUUGUCGGUGCCGUAGGGAAGCCGUGAAGCGAGCCACCUGGGAAGUACGGCCGCAAGGCUGAAACUUAAAGGAAUUGGCGGGGGAGCAUCACAACGGGUGGAGCUUGCGGUUUAAUUGGAUUCAACGCCGGAAAUCUUACCGGGACCGACAGCAACAUGAAGGCCAGGCUGAAGACUUUGCCGGAUUAGCUG
rnacentral:rRNA from 1 species